rnacentral:misc_RNA from 1 species
CGCACAUUGCACCUUUUGGUAUUCCGAAAGGUAUGCCUGUUCGAGCGUCAUUUCACCUUCUCAAUAUUAAUUUAUUGGUAUUGGAUUUGAGAAAUUUAUCUCAAUCUUAAAGAAAAAGAUUCGGUUUGUGAUCUGGAAUAUACGACGAGCUUAAUCUAAAGCAUGUAUUGAAAGAACUCAAAUUUGAUUAAAUCUCAUAUUUUUUUUACUAGGUUGACCUCGAAUCAGGUAGGGUUACCCGCUGAACUUAA